GGCCAGACUCCUACGGGAGGCAGCAGUGGGGGAUAUUGCACAAUGGGGGAAACCCUGAUGCAGCGACGCCGCGUGGGUGAAGAAGUAUUUCGGUAUGUAAAGCCCUAUCAGCAGGGAAGAAAGAAGACGGUACCUGACUAAGAAGCCCCGGCUAACUACGUGCCAGCAGCCGCGGUAAUACGUAGGGGGCAAGCGUUAUCCGGAUUUACUGGGUGUAAAGGGGGCGCAGACGGCAGCGCAAGCCAGGAGUGAAAGCCCGGGGCCCAACCCCGGGACUGCUCUUGGAACUGCGCGGCUGGAGUGCAGGAGGGGCAGGCGGAAUUCCUGGUGUAGCGGUGAAAUGCGUAGAUAUCAGGAGGAACACCGGUGGCGAAGGCGGCCUGCUGGACUGCGACUGACGUUGAGGCCCGAAAGCGUGGGGAGCAAACAGGAUUAGAUACCCGUGUAAUC
rnacentral:rRNA from 1 species